rnacentral:tRNA from 2 species
GGGCCUAUAGCUCAGCGGAAGAGCUCCCGGCUCAUAACCGGUCUGUCCCAGGUUCGAAUCCUGGUAGGCCCA